rnacentral:rRNA from 1 species
UACGUAGGGGGCAAGCGUUGUCCGGAAUCAUUGGGCGUAAAGCGCGCGUAGGCGGCCCGGUAAGUCCGCUGUGAAAGUCCAGGGCUCAACCCUGGAAAGCCGGUGGAUACUGCCGGGCUAGAGUCCGGAAGAGGCGAGUGGAAUUCCUGGUGUAGCGGUGGAAUGCGCAGAUAUCAGGAGGAACACCAAUAGCGAAGGCAGCUCGCUGGGACGAUACUGACGCUGAGGUGCGAAAGCGUGGGGAGCAAACAGG